rnacentral:rRNA from 1 species
AUGGUGUCCGCCAAGGCCAACGCUAGUGAGGACGUCGUCCCGGAGUUUGUUGGGGACCUCAUCCCAUUUGACAAGGCGCGUGUCACUACGAGUGUGUCCCCGUGGACGGCACGAGGUGGAGGGUGGCUUUGUGUAGAAUGGGGAGGUGGGAGAAGAAGAACUCUGAAGGGGCAUAAUGCUGGAGCUAGUAGGCAAGCUAGCACCCAUGGAUUCGUGAACUGGCUUGGAUGUGUACUUGGUUGCCAGCGUUGGAUGAGGACGACGGCAACAAGGGUGACUAGUGAUAUUCAGUUUUUGGUAAUCCUUUUCGCUGCCACGUUCAGGUGCAUCACUCUGAUGCCCAUGAAGGGUGAGAUCUUGGUCGACACUAUGGAGAAGACCCUGAAGCCUGGUGGGUUCCUCAAAUCGGGACUGAUAGAAACCGAAGGGCCACUCGAAGCUGUCAAAGGGCACUUGUAG